rnacentral:lncRNA from 1 species
AGUUUAGGACACAAGAGAAGAAACGUCAUGAAAUUGUAAAAAUAGUAGGUAGUCACAUAGGUUAGAGGAGAUAGUAUCAACUAGCGUACCCAGGGUCCAACUUAAGGACCAUAGAAAAAUUUUAGUAGAAAAAUCAGAAUCACAUAAAGAAACAGAGAGUUCCAGACUCAGUUGAGCAAACAAAUGAAACAAAUUCAAAAAACUCGAAAUAGGUUCAAAAGAGUUAGGUUUUUUCAGAAAUUAAACAAGUUCAAAAAUGAAGAGCCAACAAAUCACAUAGCCAAGGGUCUCAAAACUCGGAUGAACCCCCAAAUUUAGGGUUCUUGCCAUUAACCGAGAACAGAGACAAUAGGGCAAGUGAUUAGGGGAAAAUAUACUACUUGAAAUAGGUUCAGAGGUCUCAGACCUUUUAAUAUGUUCCUUCAGAAACAGAAAUUCAUGAGAAACAUAGUAAAAAAGUAACAUGCGAAACAACAGUAGAAGAACUGGUAGAAGAAACAAAUAAGAACAUGGUAGGAGAAUCUUAACAAGAGCAUAGUAGGAGAGAGAUAGUAGAAGAACAUGGUAAAAGAAAUUUUAACAAGAACACACUAGGAGAAGCAUAAUAGAAAACACACAAGAGAAAAAGAAAAUCAGAGAAACACACAAGAGAAUAAGAAAAUCACAGAAACAUAACUCAAAACCCUAGAUCGGAAAAUAAAGGUUUUGAAAGCAUAACUUUUUAAAGAAAUAUCGGAAAAUUGUUUAAAAGCUUAGGGAAAACAUGAAUCUGGAAUAGAUCUACAGAGAUCAGAAAAAACCUCAAAAACUAGGGUUUCAAAGGAACCCAAACGGUGAGAAAAGCUUGGAUCUAAGCAGGAGGAGUUGAGGCCAGGCUCAAACAGAUAUGUCUCGCCGGAGCAAGGCCGGAUAUGGCCGCGGAACUUGAAUUGGCAAAGAUCUGGACCCAACUCUUCAUGGUCAAGUCAUGAAACUUCAGUAACCAAGCGUGAGGAGCCAUAUGAAGCUGGUGGGUGGUGAAACCACCAUAGAUUCAGUCCAGGAGGUGGCCGAAGAAGGUGAGUAAAACUCAUCGGAGAGGAGGCAAAGGGGGAAGGUUCAAGAAAGAACCAGAGAUAGAAC